rnacentral:lncRNA from 1 species
GCUUGCUAUUACUAAUAAAACAGCAGCAACCACAGGACAGCUUCACUUCCGGAAACUCCCUCUGUCACGUGCUUUGCAUGAAUCCUCACACCGUCUCACUAGGGGCGCUCUCCCCGUUUCACCAGUGACUUGGUGACAACCAGCCUUGCUCACGAAGCGUCAGCCGUAUCCUUUCUGUGUGCAGUGGGGUGUGGGUUGUGUGGAGCCGCGGUGUCUGUGGAAUUCACAGGCUGGGGCCGGAAUCCAUGGCCCCCGUCGCCGCUGCCACCCCCCAGGCAUUUGUUUUAUUGCUCUUUUUUCACCAACUCAAACUGAAUGGUCACCUUAACAGUUUUAUUGAGAUCCAUUAUUUAUUCUUCUCCAUCUUGUUCUGUGUUCCUGGAAGCCAACCUUUAUAAGCUGCAGGAAAUGGAUUUCCUACUCUCCACCUUCUGAUUGGGCUUGACCAACGGGGAGCACUGGCAGAAGACAAGCAUGGGAGGAAAAAGAGAUCAGGGCUGGAGUGCAGUGGCGUGAUCUCGGCUAGCUACAACCUCC